GUGGUAAUGCCGGAUGUUCCACAUGAUCGCAUGUGAUUGUGGGAAAGAUUCUAUCGGCGUGGGAUGGGGUCGCGUCCUAUCAGCUUGUUGGUGAGGUAACGGCUCACCAAGGCUUCGACGGGUAGCCGGCCUAAGAGGGCGACCGGCCACAUUGGGACUGAGAUACGGCCCAGACUCCUACGGGAGGCAGCAGUGGGGAAUAUUGCACAAUGGGCGCAAGCCUGAUGCAGCGACGCCGCGUGAGGGAUGGAGGCCUUCGGGUUGUAAACCUCUUUUGUUUGGGAGCAAGCCUUCGGGUGAGUGUACCUUUCGAAUAAGCGCCGGCUAACUACGUGCCAGCAGCCGCGGUAAUACGUAGGGCGCAAGCGUUAUCCGGAUUUAUUGGGCGUAAAGGGCUCGUAGGCGGCUCGUCGCGUCCGGUGUGAAAGUCCAUCGCUUAACGGUGGAUCUGCGCCGGGUACGGGCGGGCUGGAGUGCGGUAGGGGAGACUGGAAUUCCCGGUGUAACGGUGGAAUGUGUAGAUAUCGAAAAAAAAA
rnacentral:rRNA from 1 species